UACGGAGGGUGCAAGCAUUAAUCGGAUUUACUGGGCGUAAAGGGCGCGUAGGUUGAUUGGCAAGUCAGAUGUGAAAUCCUGGAGCUCAACUCCAGAACUGCAUUUGAAACUACCUUUCUAGAGGAUAGGAGGAGAAAAUGGAAUUCCACAAGUAGCGGUGAAAUGCGUAGAUAUGUGGAAGAACACCGGUGGCGAAGGCGAUUUUCUAUCUUACUCCUGACGCUGAUGCGCGAAAGCUAGGGGAGCAAACAGG
rnacentral:rRNA from 1 species